UUUUUAUUUAAACUUUUUUUUUUUUGUAAAAUGUAUCGUUCGCGACUUAUAUGCCGCAACGCGUUUUUCGGAAGACGAAAUGGCUCCGCCACACUUCCGGUCAUGAGGAAACCGGCAGAUUUUGUAUUUUUACGUGCUAACGUCU